rnacentral:rRNA from 1 species
ACGCUCGACACCUACGGGAGGCAGCAGUGGGGAAUAUUGCACAAUGGGGGAAACCCUGAUGCAGCGACGCCGCGUGGAGGAAGGAGGUCUUCGGAUUGUAAACUCCUGUUGUUGGGAAAAAGAGGAUGGUACCCAACAAGGAAGUGACGGCUAACUACGUGACAGCAGCCGCGGUAAUCUGAGCGGGCUGGCAAGGC